UAGGGAAUCUUCCACAAUGGGCGCAAGCCUGAUGGAGCAACGCCGCGUGUGUGAUGAAGGCUUUCGGGUCGUAAAGCACUGUUGUAUGGGAAGAAAUGCUAAAAUAGGGAAUGAUUUUAGUUUGACGGUACCAUACCAGAAAGGGACGGCUAAAUACGUGCCAGCAGCCGCGGUAAUACGUAUGUCCCGAGCGUUAUCCGGAUUUAUUGGGCGUAAAGCGAGCGCAGACGGUUGAUUAAGUCUGAUGUGAAAGCCCGGAGCUCAACUCCGGAAUGGCAUUGGAAACUGGUUAACUUGAGUGUUGUAGAGGUAAGUGGAACUCCAUGUGUAGCGGUGGAAUGCGUAGAUAUAUGGAAGAACACCAGUGGCGAAGGCGGCUUACUGGACAACAACUGACGUUGAGGCUCGAAAGUGUGGGUAGCAAACAGGAUUAGAUACCCUGGUAGUCCACACCGUAAACGAUGAAUACUAGGUGUUAGGAGGUUUCCGCCUCUUAGUGCCGAAGCUAACGCAUUAAGUAUUCCGCCUGGGGAGUACGACCGCAAGGUUG
rnacentral:rRNA from 1 species